GAUGAACGCUAGCUACAGGCUUAACACAUGCAAGUCGAGGGGUAACGAGAGGAAAGCUUGCUUUCCUUGUUGACGACCGGCGCACGGGCGAGUAACGCGUAUCCAACCUGCCCCCAACUAGGGAAUAACCUUGCGAAAGUAAGACUAAUACCCUAUAAUUUCCUCAGAUGUCAUCUGACGAGGAAUAAAGAUUUAUCGGUUGUGGAUGGGGACGCGUCUGAUUAGCUUGUUGGCGGGGUAACGGCCCACCAAGGCAACGAUCAGUAGGGGUUCUGAGAGGAAGGUCCCCCACAUUGGAACUGAGACACGGUCCAAACUCCUACGGGAGGCAGCAGUGAGGAAUAUUGGUCAAUGGGCGGAAGCCUGAACCAGCCAAGUAGCGUGCAGGAUGACGGCCCUAUGGGUUGUAAACUGCUUUUAUACAGGAAUAAAGUUAGCCACGUGUGGUUAUUUGUAGGUACUGUAUGAAUAAGGACCGGCUAAUUCCGUGCCAGCCGCCGCCGUAA
rnacentral:rRNA from 1 species